CUCUGCUGUUUGAAUAUACUCAUGGAAUACAAAAUAAUUCUAUCUUUUCCGAACAAAAAUAUGAUAUGAAUAAUCAAAAUAAGCCAUAUACACCCUGGCUGGCGUAGCUCAGUGGAUUGAGUGC